GGAUUUUGCACCGUCUUCGGAAUCACUCAGGGAAAUUCUGCACUUCCAAGGAUGGCAUCAUUGGGAGAACGCUGGAGUAGCAGAGUUUUCUGACGUGCCUGUCAGCAAAUCACUUCAGCUGUGCUGUGCCAAGUUCCCCAUCCGUUAAAUGGGGAAUGAUUAUCCCCCUGCUUCCGAGGAAUGAGUGAGAAUAAUGCCCAGUAAUGACUGGAAGGGGGGAGGGGGGAGGAGGAGGACUGGAAGGUAGCCAGGGAGAUGCGCAGUGACACACGUAGUGGCUGCAGACCCGGCAGGAACACGCAGCGCUUUAAAAGCAACCCUCUGGGAAUUGGUUUCUCCUGCUGCUGCUUUGGGUUUGGGUUUUGUUUUUUUCUGUUUGGGUUGGGGUUUGAUAUUUAUUUUUUUUCUCUCCUUGAGGAAAAUCCUGGAAUAGGAUUUGAAAAGGUUUCUCUGCCUGCUUCCCUGCGUCGGGAAAUCUCAGGAUGGAUGGAAAGGAAGAGGAAGAUGUGAUGGGAGAAGGCACCUCAGGGGAGCCUGGAGUACCAGCUCCCUUCUCUCAGCCCGUCCCACCCCGCCAGGGACCCCCUCCUCGGGCCACUCGCUGCCUCCUGGAGCCACAGGGAUGCUGCACGCUGGGAAGGGCUAACUGCUCCAGGUAGCAUCACAACCUCCAGGUAGCAUCACAACCUCCACAUAGCAUCACAACCUCCACACGAUGGAUUGCUGGGGGCAUUGCUCCUUGGCUUUUGUGGUCUUUGGGACUCGGUGAAAACUUCCCAGCCAAGGAAAAAGAAAGGGAGAAAGGAUGCCUGGAGUGAAAGGACAAAACAGAAGCUUUUGCCCCAGGCAAAGCUGUUACUCACCGGUGGGUUUGGAAGCUCCGUGGAAUCACUUUGGGAUGGAUGUUGCUGUUUCUCCUUCACCUCAAUUCCAGUCUUUGAGAAGCCUUUCAGUGAAGAAGUCUCUUAUAGUGUCCAACCUAAACCACUCCUGCUGCAACCUGAGGCCGUUUCCUCUCGUCCUGCCGCUUGUUACUAGGGAGAAGAGACUGCAAAGUUUCUAUCUUCACCACAAUAUUCUUACAGCUUUGGGUUUUGGGGGGUGGAAGACAAUCAGCAGCUGGUUUAGAGGCUUUAAGUCAGUCCUUGCUGUCUCUUCAGGGCUGGCUGGAGCAUAUCCUAGCAUGAAAAGGGUUGGAAAGGACCUCUGGAAGUCAUCCAACCCAACCCCCCUUGCUCCAGCAGGGCACCCACAGCAACUUGUCCAGCAUCACAACAGCCAGGGGGUGGUUUGGGAUCUCUCCCGAGAUGGAGACUCCACAACCUCUCUGGGCAGCCUGCUCCAGGGCUCCAGCACCUUUAAAUUAAAGAAUUUCCUCCUCGUGUUCAAAUGCAA